rnacentral:piRNA from 1 species
CAGGAAGUGGCAGUUCGACGUCUGGUC